GUCGAACGAUGAAGCCCAGCUUGCUGGGUGGAUUAGUGGCGAACGGGUGAGUAACACGUGAGUAACCUGCCCUUAACUCUGGGAUAAGCCUGGGAAACUAGGUCUAAUACCGGAUAGGAGCGCCUACCGCAUGGUGGGUGUUGGAAAGAUUUAUCGGUUUUGGAUGGACUCGCGGCCUAUCAGCUUGUUGGUGAGGUAAUGGCUCACCAAGGCGACGACGGGUAGCCGGCCUGAGAGGGUGACCGGCCACACUGGGACUGAGACACGGCCCAGACUCCUACGGGAGGCAGCAGUGGGGAAUAUUGCACAAUGGGCGAAAGCCUGAUGCAGCGACGCCGCGUGAGGGAUGACGGCCUUCGGGUUGUAAACCUCUUUCAGUAGGGAAGAAGCGAAAGUGACGGUACCUGCAGAAGAAGCACCGGCUAACUACGUGCCAGCAGCCGCGGUAAUACGUAGGGUGCGAGCGUUAUCCGGAAUUAUUGGGCGUAAAGAGCUCGUAGGCGGUUUGUCGCGUCUGUCGUGAAAGUCCGGGGCUUAACCCCGGAUCUGCGGUGGGUACGGGCAGACUAGAGUGCAGUAGGGGAGACUGGAAUUCCUGGUGUAGCGGUGGAAUGCGCAGAUAUCAGGAGGAACACCGAUGGCGAAGGCAGGUCUCUGGGCUGUAACUGACGCUGAGGAGCGAAAGCAUGGGGAGCGAACAGGAUUAGAUACCCUGGUAGUCCAUGCCGUAAACGUUGGGCACUAGGUGUGGGGACCAUUCCACGGUUUCCGCGCCGCAGCUAACGCAUUAAGUGCCCCGCCUGGGGAGUACGGCCGCAAGGCUAAAACUCAAAGGAAUUGACGGGGGCCCGCACAAGCGGCGGAGCAUGCGGAUUAAUUCGAUGCAACGCGAAGAACCUUACCAAGGCUUGACAUGUUCUCGAUCGCCGUAGAGAUACGGUUUCCCCUUUGGGGCGGGUUCACAGGUGGUGCAUGGUUGUCGUCAGCUCGUGUCGUGAGAUGUUGGGUUAAGUCCCGCAACGAGCGCAACCCUCGUUCCAUGUUGCCAGCACGUAAUGGUGGGGACUCAUGGGAGACUGCCGGGGUCAACUCGGAGGAAGGUGAGGACGACGUCAAAUCAUCAUGCCCCUUAUGUCUUGGGCUUCACGCAUGCUACAAUGGCCGGUACAAUGGGUUGCGAUACUGUGAGGUGGAGCUAAUCCCAAAAAGCCGGUCUCAGUUCGGAUUGGGGUCUGCAACUCGACCCCAUGAAGUCGGAGUCGCUAGUAA
rnacentral:rRNA from 1 species